GAUGAACGCUGGCGGCGUGCCUAACACAUGCAAGUCGAGCGGACGGACGAGGCUUUUGCUUGGCUGAUGUGAGCGGCGGGCGUGUGAGUCACACGAGUAUCCCCUACCUAUCAGACUGAUAUCACCACGGGAAAGCGGAUCUAACACCGGAUAAGAUUCUGAACCGCGGGGGUCAUUGGACAGAUACGGCCUUGCUGUCUCUAAUCGCGGCUUCCGGGCUGGAUGAGCUAGUAGGUACGUACACGGCCUUCCACGGCGAGGAUGCGUAGCCGACCUGAGAGGCGGAUCGGCCACACUGGAACUGAGACACGGUCCAGACUCCUACGGGAGGCAGCAGUAGGGAAUGGUCGGCAAUGGGCGAAAGCCUGACGCAGCAACGCCGCGUGUGUGACGAAGGUCUUCGGAGCGUAAAGCCCUGUUAGUAGGGAAGAACAGCUGUGGAAUUAAACGUGGCCAUCUUGACGGUACCGAGUAAAAAAGCACCGGCUAACUACGUG
rnacentral:rRNA from 1 species